rnacentral:rRNA from 1 species
UACGUAGGGGGCUAGCGUUGUCCGGAAUCAUUGGGCGUAAAGAGCGUGUAGGCGGCCCGGUAAGUCCGCUGUGAAAGUCGGGGGCUCAACCCUCGAAUGCCGGUGGAUACUGUCGGGCUAGAGUGCGGAAGAGGCGAGUGGAAUUCCUGGUGUAGCGGUGAAAUGCGCAGAUAUCGUAAGGAAGACCAGUGGCGAAGGCGGGUCUCUGGACAGUUCCUGACGCUGAGGCACGAAGGCCAGGGGAGCAAACGGG